rnacentral:rRNA from 1 species
AGGACGAACGCUGGCGGCGUGCUUAACACAUGCAAGUCGAACGGAAAGGCCCUUUCGGGGGUACUCGAGUGGCGAACGGGUGAGUAACACGUGGGUGAUCUGCCCUGCACUUCGGGAUAAGCUUGGGAAACUGGGUCUAAUACCGGAUAGGACUACGGACUUCAUGGUUUGUGGUGGAAAGCUUUUGCGGUGUGGGAUGGGCCCGCGGCCUAUCAGCUUGUUGGUGGGGUAACGGCCUACCAAGGCGACGACGGGUA